rnacentral:rRNA from 1 species
ACGGAAGGCAGCAGUGAGGAAUAUUGGUCAAUGGACGGAAGUCUGAACCAGCCAAGUCGCGUGAAGGAUGAAGGUAUUAUGUAUUGUAAACUUCUUUAGCAGUGGAGUAAUAAGGGGAUCGUGAUCCCUGAUGCAAGUACACUGAGAAUAAGGAUCGGCUAACUCCGUGCCAGCGGCCGCGGUAAUACGGAGGAUCCGAGCGUUAUCCGGAUUUAUUGGGUUUAAAGGGUGCGCAGGCGGCUUUUUAAGUCAGUGGUUAAAUCGUGACGCUCAACGUCAUCACGCCAUUGAUACUGGAGAGCUUGAUUGCGGUCGAGGUUUGCGGAAUUCGUUGUGUAGCGGUGAAAUGCAUAGAUAUGACGAAGAACACCGAUUGCGUAGGCAGCAGACCAGGCCGUAAAUGACGCUCAUGCACGAAAGUGCGGGGAUCGAACAGGAUUAGAUACCCUGGUA